rnacentral:lncRNA from 1 species
AUAAGGCCCAGUAUAAUUUGGUCCCUUCCUCCUUCUCACCCUAAUUUCCCACUGCUCUUCCUCUCCCCCUGCUCCAGCCCCUGGGGGGCUAUGGCUGUUUCACAGACCAAAGCAGUUCUAUCCUUAGGGCCUUUGUUCCUGCUGUUGCCCCUUGGAAGGUUUUCUCCCUCAGAUAUUAACAUGGCUGUCUCCUCACUCUAUUUAUACCUCUGUUCAAAUAUCAACAUGUGGUGAACAGCGUCGAAAGUGACCCUUAAUGAUCUGCCCUCCUGGUAUUCACAUCUUGUGUGAUUCCCUACCCCUUUAGUGUGAGCUGGACCUACUGACUUACUAAUAAUGAAAAGAAUAUUUUAAAAGGGGAGAGAUGUCACCUCUGAGAUCUGAUUAUAAAAUACUAUGACUUCAUCUUGCAUGCUUUUCCUCUCUCCCUUUGUCUCCCUCUCCCUGGCAUUCUUGCUUGUGAGAAAGCAGGCUGCCAUGGUGUGAGCUGCCCUGUGGAGAAGCCCACAUGGCAAGAAACUGAGGGAGACCUUCAGCCAAUAGCCAGUGAGGAACUGAUGCUCUCAGAGAACAGCCUGUAGGAAACUAAUUUCUGCUAAGAACCUUCAGAUGACUGCAGGCCUGGCUGGCAACUCAACUGCAGCCUGAGAGAUCUUGAAGCAGAGGAUUCAGCUAAGCUUCUCCUGGAUUCCCAUUUGACAGAAACUCUGAGAUCAUGAAUACUGUUGUUUUGAACACUAAGUCUUGAGGUAAUUUGUAACACAGCAAUAGAUCACUGAUACCGAAUCCCUGGGAGAAGUCUUCUAUGACUAUGCAAUUUUAAACAGAAUUCUUUGUUGCACAAUGAUCCCCUAACCUUCUUUGUUUUAUUUCAUAGCAUGUAUUUCUUAGACAUUAUUUGAUAUUUUUUUGUUUGCAUAUUUCUUUCUCUCUGCUAGAAUGUAAAGUUUUAUGAAGACGAAACUAUUUUGCUUAUCAUCCUGUUUCCUAGUGCCUACAAGAGUGUCUAACAUUAAAUGGGUGCUCACAUUUGGGUCUCACUUUGUAAUCCAGGCUGGAGUGCAGUGGUUGAUCUUGGCUCACUAUAGCCUCACACUCCCACCAGGCUCCAGAGAUCCCUCAACCUCAGCCUCGUGAAGUACAUGUCACCACAACCAGGUAAUUUAUAUUUUUUGUAGAGAGAGGGUUUCGCUGUGUUGCUUAGCCUGAUCUUGAAGUGCUGGGCUCAAGGGAUCUGCUUGCCUUGGCUUCCCAAAGUGCUGGGAUUAUGGGCGUGGACCACCGUGUCCAGCCUGCUAAACUUUUUCUUAACAUGACAUUUCUCAUUCAACUCUGUAAGUAAGUUUAUGAGGCAGACAUUAUUAUCAUCACUUCCGUUUUGGAGAUGAGGGAGUUAGGAGUAAAGAGGUUUAGUGAUUUAUCAAAGAUCACGCACCUAGCAAACAGGGAAGGAGAAAUUUGAAUCCAUAAAUGUGUGGCUACAGAACCAGAGCUCUCAGGCCAUUUCACUUCCCUGCUUCUCUCACAUGUUGAAUUUACAGUCACUCAGUCCAUGGAAACUCUUUAGGGCCAGGCAGUAUGCCACAUUUCAUUUCAUACUAAACACAGAGUUUUGUUUUAAACUCUGGUUCAGGACUUUCUGUUUUCAGUGGUGUACUAGAACAAUGUUAGCUAGCAUCUCUUCCCAAUUCUGAGUUUAGGACAUCACACGGUAACUUGACAUAAGCUGUGGUAGGAGUCUUUAUACCACAGAAUUUAGCAAUACUGUGAAUCGGGGGCUUUUUAUCUUCUAGAGAGCUGGUUUACCAGCACACUAAGUACUGGGCUGUGUUUACUCCCAUUCCUUGUAUCUUGUUAGAUCUGUCCCUUUCAGUUGCUUGUUAGGAACGUGUUGGAUCAUUAUUUGUCAUCCAACAUAUUUGCUCUUCCUAUCCACUUUAUGUCAUUUCACAAAUGGGAUAAGUAUAUUUUCUUUACUUACCAUGAACUAAGCUUUAAGGGCUGGGAGUAGAAACUUUUCUCCAGGUUCCCUUGCUCCAUUCCUUAAUACAUUCAUUUCUCUACUAAUAGGCAAUAUUCCUUGAGUAUUUUCUAUGUGUCAAACAGUAUUCUAAGCCCUUUACAUGUAUUAAAUUAUUGUACCCCCUCAGCAACUGAUGAGUUAUGGAUUUGAGGCACAAGAAAGGUUGAAUUAUGUUCUUUAGGGGUUUACAUAACUAGGUGAUGCCUGAACUGGGAUUCAAAUCCAGUUUGCUAGUUUGCUAUCCUCUCUUUACUUAAUUGCACUACAAUCCAAACUUUGAGGCUUUUUCUGAUCUACAAGAAUGCCACAGAAGAGUUUGGAUUCAGUGAGCAGUGAGAUUCAGCAGUAGUAAGGGGCCAUUAUGUUUUUGAAUGGGAGAGUGAUACUUUUCACACAGAACUUAGAAUGUUUUGUUACACUAGAGUAUGACAUAUUGGCCCAAGUAGGAGAAAGGGCAGGAAAAACGCCUGUGGCAUUAUGCCUAUCAUUUAGAGCUUGCUCAUGUCUAUGGAAAUGAAAUGACUUUUUUAAAUGGGGCUUUCACUCCAACUGGAUCAGGCUCCUACUGGCUCAGUCAAGAUGCCAAGGCUCUGUUUAUGCUAUUUCCCUGAUCCAGGGUACAUUCUCUAGCUACUCCAUUUCUUUGUAUAUGAAAAUAGUUAAAAACUAAACUACAGAUAUAACAUUAUUGGGCUCUCCCACAAUAUCAUUCCCCUCAAAUAUUCAUCAUCUGUUUUAUACACUUCUGAUUUAAUCAUUUCCCACAUAUUUAUGAUUUCUCACCAGUGAGUCUUUAAGUUCCUUAAAGGCAGGAACUGCGUCUUAUACUUUGGCAUGCUCUGUAGUGCUGAGAUCACCAGUUACUCCAUAAAUGCUUGUGGACUAUAAAAGUGCAUAAAUAACUCUUCUUUUUUUUUUCCAUGGCAAAGCUCAUUGACAAUAGGUGCCUGGAGUAAUAUAAUUAGGAAGCUCCAAAAUAAAAUUGUGUUAAGGAACUACUAAAUGCUGUAAAGGAAAGUAGAGAAGACAGCCAAUUAGUAUCUACGAGCACCCAUGAUUUCUAUGUAAUAGAAGAAGUCAUUUAUUGGAUUUAGUUGACUUAGUUAGAUUCCUGGCUACAGGCUUUCCCCUGAGUCCUUAAUUGCUCAUUCAAAAGGAAGAAGCAAUGACCCCAUUCAGAGCCAAGUUACAAGGUAUCCAUUAAAAGAUUUGAGAGUGUGGCUAGGGAAUUGUGGUGCCUAAAUGAGGCGGUCAGAACCAAC